UCCUCUCUGCUCUACUGUGGCCUUUCUAGGAAGAUUCAGUCCCACACAGUGAGUGGGAGCCUGUUUGGUGCCCCACCCUGCAGCCCUGCACACCUCCCAGGGCCAGUCCAUCAUGGUCUGUCUGAUGCAGGGAGAGACAUCAAUAAUAAGAGCUGAAGCAGAAACCACAGCGGAGAACACAAAAGAGAGAGGGAGGGCAGACGCAGGCCACAACCGGCUCUGCUGCAGGCUGGAGUGGGCAGGCGUGCGGCUUUGGCCACAGGAAACCGUGAAUUCUUUGGAGAAUGGAAGAUGUCUUUUGGGGAGACAUACUGGGCCCCCACCCCACCCACUCGCCACCCCAAAAUGACACCUGACCCCUUCAUGUGUUUAUAUCAGACCAUGGAAGUGAGAAAUAGUGAUGAGUCACUCUGGCUGCGUGUUUACACUCCAGAGUCACGCAAGGAAGGAAAUCAGCCACGGUCUGCUAAAAGUGGCGAGGUGAGAGAGAAUAGCUGCAGUCCCCCAGAGCUGCAGUGAUUUACCUCUCAGAGCCAGAAUUUAUUUCAUGUCAUCUCUGCUGCGAAGACCUUCGACCAACAGAAAACAGUGAUAUUAGCAGUGCAGUAGACUGUUGUCGAGGAAAGGGUAACUCUGACUGCGGCAAGGGCCAGAACAAGAGGUAAAAACAUAAAAUAAGCAGGAUGAUUCAUCAAGAGAAUAAAUGGAAUUUUAGAACGUCUUAUUACAUACACAGUGUUGAUCACAUCCAGUCACUUUCUGAUCAAGGAAGGUAAACCAUGUCACUGUCAUAGAAUGAAAGUUUCUAUGACAGUUUUUCUAUGAAAGUUUCCACGUUUUUUUCAGCUUGAUGACUGCACAUUUGACAUUUUACAAACAUUUUCUCUCAGCUACAAGGAGAGCUUAUAAUUGCUCAACAUAAUUUAAAAAUGCUCAUCACUAAAACUGGAGUUACGAGGUUUUCACCCAUGCAACAGCAAUGAUGUACUUAUAAUAAGCACUUUAAUGACAUGUUCUGCACUUUUAAUUAUUCUCAUUGAUAUACUGUAUUGAUAUCAAGUUAAAAUAUAAAAGACUUAAAUAAUUUUUAUUUCAUACACAAUUCAGUUUUCUGGUUAUGAUUCCCUGCAAAAGAAAAAUGAUUAAAAAACAAAACAAAACAAACUUUAAUACUUAAAAGCUAGUGCAAUAUUUUAUCUGACAUUUUAUCUGACUUUGUGUCUAUUAUGUGUAUAUUCCUGGUUACAAAGUUCAGAAAAGAAGUUUAUAUAGUUAUGACGGUGGAUGUAAAAUUGUGACAAUUUGUGUCACUUCUAAUGAGCCUCUGAUAUCUGUCUGUGUGUUUGUGAACAGUAUAAAAACACCAAAUAGAUUCAAGUUUGUAUCACAAACUGUGGUUUUAAUGGCUUCAGCUGUCAUAAAGCAGGAAAGUGAAAUCAUAUUCACAUAGUGCUAGAUCUUUACACACACACCCUUUAAACUGUCUUGAUGUUUUAUUUUUUAUUGACGUUGCAACUUGAUCUUGCACAUUAUAUGACAUGUGCAUCAGUUUAUAUUGACAAUAAUUGAGAUGCUGUACAGGUUUCUGUAUAGCCUAAAAAAUACUACAUUAUUUGCUCAUUGUUAUCAGCAUAAUACAUUUUAGAAAUUGUGUUCAUGAGUGACCCUACAGGAUCUGUAUGAACCCCACUGGACACGUAUUGCAUUGUGCUCUGGUGGACUUUAUGUUCAAUGUACUGUGAUGUGUGUUUACCGUGGCUAAGACCAGUGUUUCAAACAUAGUGUCACUGUCGUCCUCCACACCGAGCGACUUUAGAUUUUAGAUUGCACAACUGUUGUUUUCAAGAGACGGCUGUAGUUACUGUUGUGCUCUGUAAAUAAAAGUGACACUUUAUUUCUUUCCAUCAUUACAUUGGUGCAAGUAACUUCAUUGCUGACUGUAGCGAGUAUCCUGUUACACACCCCCAUACACACCGCCACAAUGAGAGAGUCAGCGGCUCUUAUUUUGGCUGAUCUUUCCUGAAUUGUAAGUCCUGUCAGGGGCUUUGAUUGAUAGUUGUGUUUAUCACCAUAUUAUUAAGUAAUCAGGCUCACCACAGCUGGGCCUGAAUCUCCUUAAUUCCAGCUAAAGCACACGGCUUCAUGUUAAUUAAAGGUUUGACCAAAGUGUUUAUUUUUGUGAAUUUUUAAAAUAUAGUUGUCUGUGUUUUUAUGAGAGUGCGCUGAUUGUUGCAUUUGUAUCCUCUCUGGAACAUUUAGUGCCAACCUUUAGUGUUAUAUCUUCAUCACAAAGAUCAUGGUUAUUCACAGGACAGAGGAGAGAAAAUCAUGUUGCAUGAACUGCAUGUGGAGUUUAGAAAAAUCUUGCAUUUCAGUACAUGAUAACAUACCGCUUUACAUUACUCUAAAACCUGCAAAAUGACAAAUAAGCUGCAUACAGUACAGUAUCUCCGUAUAUAACAUGAGAGGGUCAAUCAGUCUAUGUUCUGUACAUCAGAAGAGGUUUCCUCUCGCUUCGUUAAUAGAGCCUGCGGCAGGCUGCGUUUGUGUAUUCCUGAGGUAAACACAGUCAUGGCAAAGUGGACAUGCUGCUGAGUGUGUCCUGACUGGAGACAGAGAGCACUGUGGCACUGUACUGACUUUAGACACUGGCAGCUCUCUAGAGGUAGGGUUAAUGUGAUGAAUGGCCAUUUGGUAAUGGGCCAUGUAUUAGGGCGAAAUAGCUCUUUUAAAAGCCAGAGCCUGAGCCGUUGCUUUGGGCAAUUUGAUUCAAGAAUCAAUCAGGUGGCAGAUGUUUCAUGUUGGAUCAGUCAACUCUGUCUUGCUCUCUCUUUCAACCAAAUGAAGGAAGAAUUGCUUGAAUGACUGCAUGUAGCAAUCAAAUAGAAAUGGGAAUUCUCGCAGUCUGUGAUGCCAUGUUGUUUAAAAAAAAAAAAAA